rnacentral:rRNA from 1 species
AUAAGGUCAAGUUAGUAAGGGCAUACGGUGGAUGCCUAGGCGCUGAGAGGCGAAGAAGGGCGCGGAUAACUGCGAAAAGCCACGGUGAGCCGUAAGCAGGCAUAGACCCGUGGAUACCCGAAUGGGGCAACCCGUCCGGAGUCAUAUCCGGACAUCGCUGACUGAAUCCAUAGGUCAGCGAAGCCAACCCGGGGAACUGAAACAUCUAAGUACCCGGAGGAAAAGAAAUCAAGCGAGAUUCCCCCAGUAGCGGCGAGCGAACGGGGAAGAGCCUAAACCGUUUCUUCGGAAGCGGGGUUGCGGGACCUUCAUCCCGAAUGAAUCAUCCUAGUCGAAGCGGUCUGGAAAGGCCUGGCACAGCAGGUAACACCCCUGUAGGCGAAAGGACGAGCCAUUCCGAAGGGAUCCCAAGUACCGCGGGGCACGUGAAAUCCCGUGGGAAUCCGGGGGGACCACCCUCCAAGGCUAAAUACUCCUCAGCGACCGAUAGUGAACCAGUACCGUGAGGGAAAGGUGAAAAGCACCCCGGAAGGGGAGUGAAAGAGAACCUGAACCCGUAUGCUUACAAGCAGUCGGAGC